rnacentral:rRNA from 1 species
AAUAUUGGACAAUGGGGGAAACCCUGAUCCAGCCAUCCCGCGUGUAUGAUGAAGGCCGUCGGGUUGUAAAGUACUUUUGGCAGAGAAGAAAAGGUAUCUCCUAAUACGAGAUACUGCUGACGGUAUCUGCAGAAUAAGCACCGGCUAACUACGUGCCAGCAGCCGCGGUAAUACGAAGGGUUCAAGCGUUAAUCGGAAUUACUGGGCGUAAAGCGCGCGUAGGUGGUUUGUUAAGUUGGCAGUGAAAGCCCCGGGCUCAACCUUGGAACUGCAUUUUUAACUGCCGAGCUAGAGUAUGUCAGAGGGGGGUAGAAUUCCACGUGUAGCAGUGAAAUGCGUAGAUAUGUGGAGGAAUACCGAUGGCGAAGGCAGCCCCCUGGGAUAAUACUGACGCUCAGACACGAAAGCGUGGGGAGCAAACAGG